GAUUGUUUGUAACAGAGGCAUAAGGGGAGAAAAGAAGUGAAACGUUCGCACUCAUAAAUGCGCAUUCAGGCGCCAUAGUAACACGGUUUACUAAAAUAAGAAAGAAAGACCGGUUUGAAACAACGUGACGUCCAAAGCCAGAGCACCUCUGAAGGCUCAGGUGGAAGAUCUGAGGAAACAGCUCAAGGCCAAGAGCAGGAUUAUUCAAAGUCUGAAAGAGGAAAUUAAGACUCCUUUGUUCCACAGUGCACAAAAGAAGAAU